GGACGAACGCUGGCGGCGUGCCUAAUACAUGCAAGUCGAGCGAAUCACUGGGAGCUUGCUCCCGGYGGUUAGCGGCGGACGGGUGAGUAACACGUGGGCAACCUGCCUGUAAGACUGGGAUAACACCGGGAAACCGGUGCUAAUACCGGAUAAUACUUCUYUACACAUGUARGGAAGCUGAAAGUCGGUUUMGGCUGACACUUACAGAUGGGCCCGCGGCGCAUUAGCUAGUUGGUGAGGUAACGGCUCACCAAGGCGACGAUGCGUAGCCGACCUGAGAGGGUGAUCGGCCACACUGGGACUGAGACACGGCCCAGACUCCUACGGGAGGCAGCAGUAGGGAAUCUUCCACAAUGGACGAAAGUCUGAUGGAGCAACGCCGCGUGAGCGAAGAAGGCCUUCGGGUCGUAAAGCUCUGUUGUUAGGGAAGAACAAGUAYCGGAGUAACUGCCGGUACCUUGACGGUACCUAACCAGAAAGCCACGGCUAACUAC
rnacentral:rRNA from 1 species